GUCAAUUUCGCGGCCACUUCUCAAGUAUUCAGUUUCCAAAACACGUGACUGUUACAUGAUAUCCCUCCUUACGACCCUGGAUGCGCUUAUAUAUCUUGGGCGCUUUUACAGUUGCGAGCAAAACUGACAAGAUUUACUGUUUGUGUCUGGAACCUCAGCUGAAAACAGACUGAACAUCUCAACAAGAUGAGGGCAUGUCUUCUCCUGCUGUGUGUUGUGCUGCUGUGCAUUUCCGUCUCAAUCGAGGCCCACCUACUCAGGCGUGAUGUUGUAGGUGGAGGCGGGGGAGGUGGAGACGGAGUCUGGGCAGAUGGAGGUGGAACCGGGGGAAAUGGACGUGGAGGCUGGUAUUGGAGUGGACGUCAACGUUAGAGAGGUGUAGAUGGAGGCGGAGGCGAGUGCGGUGGAGGUGGAGGUGGAGGUGGAGGUGGAAGUGGUGGGAGGCGGUGGUUUUGAUGGUGGUGGAAGAGGUGACGAAUCAGCGUGAUGACUCCGAUAGCCAUUUCAGUGAUGGUGGCAGUGGUUUUGGCGGAGGCGGGGAAAGUAGCAAUUGUGAAGACAGCGGCAUUGAUUCAUAUGAUCACAGAAACAUUGGUGUCCCACCAGUAGGUGGGGGCGGUGGUUUUGGUGGAGGCGGGGAAAGUAGAAACUCAGAUGACAGCCAUAGUAACGAAGAUGACCAUGAAAACAUUGGGGUUUCACCAGGUGGCGGAUAUUGAUUUGAAGCGACAUCGUACUCUUGAAUACAAUAUUAAAACCGCAAAACAACCAUUUUAUGCAAUUAUGUCUUUAUCACUUAUACCUAAUAUGCAACACUUUCUCUCAAAGGAAACUAAUUAUCAAUGUAUGCAGGCAAAGCUAAUUAUUUCACAAACUGUUAAUACAUUAUAUAUUCUGUGUGCAAGUUUCAAAAUGGUUGAAUUUCUGUCAAUAUUCCCACUACCAUGUU